CAGGGGGGGCGAGCGUUGUUCGGAAUUACUGGGCGUAAAGGGUUCGUAGGUGGCUGACUCAGUCAGACGUGAAAUCCCUCAGCUUAACUGGGGAACUGCGUCUGAUACUGGCCGGCUUGAGUGCGGGAGAGGAACGCGGAAUUCCAGGUGUAGCGGUGAAAUGCGUAGAUAUCUGGAGGAACACCGGUGGCGAAGGCGGCGUUCUGGACUGCAACUGACACUGAGGAACGAAAGCCAGGGGAGCAAACGGGAUUAGAUACCCCGGUAGUCCUGGCCCUAAACGAUGAAUGCUUGGUGUGGCGGGUAUCGAUCCCUGCCGUGCCGAAGUUAACGCGUUAAGCAUUCCGCCUGGGGAGUACGGUCGCAAGGCUG
rnacentral:rRNA from 1 species